UGGCGGCGGGGUUUGGGGUGGGGGGGGCGGGUGCCGCCGUCCCCUCGUCCCUCCGGCUCCCCACCGCCCUCCCGGAGCCGGCUAGGCGCCGCCGGGGCGCGUCCGCCUCCCCCUGAGGGAGACCCCAGGACAGGGCGCGACGCCCCCCGGGCCGUGGUGCCUCGUCUCUUCAUCUCCCCUCCAGGACUCGGUGAUUCUUCCUGAUGGCUUUAGUUAAUUUCUUCCUGUAGAGCGUGCCCUCCUCCUCUCUCCGUGGUGCGGCAGAAAAUGGUUUCGGGGCUACUACGGGGCCAGGCCCUUCCCGGGUGGGAUCCUGCUGGAAAGACGCAGGCCUGCCCCGCUCGGGGCUUGCUGCUCGGGCCUCCCGGCCCUGUAUAGGCAUGCACCACGAAUGCAUCAACCCAUAGCCACCAACGGAGAAACAUAAGCUGAGGUUUUCUUUUUUUAUUCUUUUUCCGUCUGGGAAAGACGGGGAUGUAUCACAUGGAGUUGCUGCUGGAUCCAAGGAGAAAUAUUUACUGGAAUGCUUAACAUGGUAUCUGGGGGGAGGAGGGAUCAUCAAAUGAAAUUAUGAGGUGGCAGGUUCAAAAGAAGGUAACUCUUCACGCAAAACAAUACAUCUUGGAACUCAUUGCUACAGGAUGUUGAGGAUGCUAGAAGUUCAAAAAGCAAUUAGACACAAUCACGGAAGAAGAAUCUGUGCAGAGAUGUUCAACGCAAGCACCUCUGAUUCAGGAGCCCUUUGAGGUGCAAAUCUACAUCCUGCGGAAGCAUUUUGGGGAGCAGGCUCCCCUGUUGUCACGCUGUCAUUAGGUGAUUCCUGUUGUCCUGGGCUGGACUAGAAAUGCUGCUCUUCUGAUCCAGCAUGGUCAUCUCUAUGUUUAACUGUCAUUUCAUUUAAUGUGGGUGGGUUUUUUUCAACAAUCUUUAAUAAAUCCUAAACAGCAA